CAGACCCGGAAGCGGAGCCGUCACGUGGGGCGGCGUGGGCCGCUGCCUUGGAAACGCGGAGCCGCGCUCCCGGCGAAAGCACCAGGGCAGGGGUCUCGCGUGGGAGGAAGGGAGUGCUCCGGGGAUAGAAUGCUGUGCGUCGGAAGGCUGGGCGGCUUCGGAGCCAGAGCAGCAGCUCUGCCGCCCCGGUGGGCGGGCCAGGGAAGCCUUCAAGCCGGGAUCCGGGCCCGAAGGGUCAGCACCAGCUGGUCUCCCGUGGGCGCCGCCUUCAAUGUCAAGCCCCAGGGCAGCCGCUUGGACCUGUUCGGCGAGCGCCGGGGUCUUUUUGGAGUUCCUGAGCUCAGUGCCCCAGAAGGAUUUCAUAUUGCACAAGAAAAAGCCUUGAGAAAGACAGAAUUGCUUGUGGACCGUGCGUGUUCCACCCCACCUGGGCCCCAGACCGUGCUGAUCUUCGAUGAGCUCUCGGAUUCCUUGUGCAGAGUGGCCGACUUGGCUGAUUUUGUGAAAAUCGCUCACCCUGAGCCAGCAUUCAGAGAAGCCGCGGAAGAAGCUUGUAGAAGCAUUGGCACCAUGGUAGAGAAGUUGAACACAAAUGUGGAUUUAUAUCAAAGUUUGCAAAAAUUACUAGCUGAUAAAAAUCUUGUGGAUUCCCUUGAUCCAGAAACAAGGCGAGUGGCUGAACUGUUUCUGUUUGAUUUUGAAAUUAGUGGAAUCCAUCUAGACCAAGAAAAGCGUAAAAGAGCAGUGGACCUCAAUGUUAAAAUCUUGGAUUUGAGUAGUACAUUUCUUACGGGAACCAAUUUUCCCAACAAGAUCGAGAAGCAUCUCUUACCAGAACACAUUCGUCAUAACUUUACGUCUGCUGGGGAUCAUAUCAUCAUCGAUGGUCUCCACGCAGAGGCCCCAGAUGACUUGGUGCGAGAAGCUGCUUAUAAAAUUUUUCUUUAUCCCAACGCUGGUCAGUUGAAAUGUUUAGAAGAAUUGCUCAGCAGUCGAGACCUUCUGGCAAAGCUGGUGGGGUACUCCACGUUCUCCCACAGGGCUCUCCAAGGAACGAUAGCUAAAAAUCCAGAGACUGUCAUGCAGUUCCUUGAGAAACUAUCUGACAAACUUUCUGAAAGAACUCUAAAAGAUUUUGAGAUGAUACGAGAGAUGAAAAUGAAACUGAAUCCUCAAAAUUCUGAAGUAAUGCCUUGGGACCCCCCCUACUACAGUGGUGUGAUUCGUGCAGAAAGGUAUAAUAUUGAGCCCAGCCUAUAUUGCCCGUUUUUCUCUCUUGGAGCAUGCAUGGAAGGCCUGAAUAUUUUGCUAAACAGACUAUUGGGGAUUUCAUUAUAUGCAGAGCAGCCUGCAAAAGGAGAGGUGUGGAGUGAAGAUGUCCGAAAACUGGCUGUCGUUCAUGAAUCUGAGGGAUUGUUGGGGUACAUUUACUGUGAUUUUUUUCAGCGAGCAGACAAGCCACAUCAGGAUUGCCAUUUCACUAUCCGUGGAGGCAGACUAAAGGAAGAUGGAGACUAUCAACUCCCAGUUGUAGUUCUUAUGCUGAAUCUUCCGCGUUCCUCAAGGAGUUCUCCAACUUUGCUAACUCCUGGCAUGAUGGAAAAUCUUUUCCAUGAAAUGGGACAUGCCAUGCAUUCAAUGCUAGGACGUACUCGUUACCAACACGUCACUGGGACCAGGUGCCCUACUGAUUUUGCUGAGGUUCCUUCUAUUCUGAUGGAGUACUUUGCAAAUGAUUAUCGAGUAGUUAACCAAUUUGCCAGACAUUAUCAGACUGGACAGCCACUGCCAAAAAAUAUGGUGUCUCGUCUUUGUGAAUCUAAAAAGGUUUGUGCCGCAGCUGACAUGCAACUUCAGGUCUUUUAUGCCGCUCUGGAUCAAAUCUACCAUGGGAAGCAUCCCCUGAGGAAUUCAACCACAGACAUUCUCAAGGAAACACAAGAGAAAUUCUAUGGCCUACCAUACGUUCCAAAUACUGCCUGGCAGCUGCGAUUCAGCCACCUCGUGGGCUAUGGCGCUAAAUACUACUCUUACCUCAUGUCCAGAGCGGUCGCCUCCAUGGUGUGGAAGGAGUGCUUUCUGCAGGAUCCUUUCAACAGGGCCGCUGGGGAGCGCUAUCGCAAGGAGAUGCUGGCCCACGGUGGAGGCAGGGAGCCCAUGCUCAUGGUUGAAGCUGUGAUGACAGUGCUCAUACAAUCCUGUCCCCACCGCACCAACAUGCACAGACACAAGCAGGCAGUGAGGUGGCUCCGGGACGACCUUGUAUGAAGACGUUUCCUGCCUUAGUCUCGGCAAUGGACAUCACAAACUUGGGAACAAGCUACAAAAUUAAGAUCACUUGGCCUAGAGACCUGCCGCCCACCAGGAUGGACCAGGCCAAAUAUGAUCACGCCUGGCUUUGAGUAAAAGAAAAGAAGACCGAAAAGCAAUGACCACGGGGAGGGGCUGGCAAGGCAGGGAGGAGCACCCCAGGCCUCCGUGCCUGGCCCUAACUGCAGGGCGGACGGAAGGCACCCCAUUAUGCCGGAGCAGCUCACUGCUUUGGGUUCCUCUUGGGCACCUGCUGGAUUGUAAGUACAGCUGUUUCGUACGUUAAUUACCAUAAAUACCAUCAUUAACACUGAAAACAAUUAAACGCCGUACACUGGCAGCAGAUUACCUACAGUGUCUCUCACAAACAUGGGAAAGUAAAGGAAUCUUCCCCACCAGCAAGGA